rnacentral:rRNA from 1 species
GAUGAACGCUGGCGGCGUGCCUAAUACAUGCAAGUCGAGCGAACAGACGAGGAGCUUGCUCCUCUGACGUUAGCGGCGGACGGGUGAGUAACACGUGGAUAACCUACCUAUAAGACUGGGAUAACUUCGGGAAACCGGAGCUAAUACCGGAUAAUAUAUUGAACCGCAUGGUUCAAUAGUGAAAGACGGUUUUGCUGUCACUUAUAGAUGGAUCCGCGCCGCAUUAGCUAGUUGGUAAGGUAACGGCUUACCAAGGCAACGAUGCGUAGCCGACCUGAGAGGGUGAGCGGCCACACUGGCACUGCGCCAUCGUCCAGCCGACGCAGGGAGGCGCAAGGAGGCGAGAGUCCUGCAGGGGUGAAGGACUGACGGAUCAAAUCUGCGGCAUUAAUGAAGGUCUCAGGAUCGUAACACUUCGUGACUAGGGAAGAACAAAAGUGUACGCAACUCUGCACGCCUGCACGGGAGGUAAUCAGAAAGCCACGGCUAACUACGUG